rnacentral:rRNA from 1 species
UACGUAGGGUGCGAGCGUUGUCCGGAAUUACUGGGCGUAAAGAGCUCGUAGGUGGUUUGUCGCGUUGUCCGUGAAAACUCACAGCUCAACUGUGGGCGUGCGGGCGAUACGGGCAGACUAGAGUUCGGCAGGGGAGACUGGAAUUCCUGGUGUAGCAGUGAAAUGCGUAGAUAUCAGGAGGAAUACCGAUGGCGAAGGCAGGUCUCUGGGCUGACACUGACGCUCAUGCACGAAAGCGUGGGGAGCAAACAGG